GACGAACGCUGGCGGCGUGCUUAACACAUGCAAGUCGAGCGAUGAAGUUCCUUCGGGAAUGGAUUAGCGGCGGACGGGUGAGUAACACGUGGGUAACCUGCCUCAUAGAGGGGAAUAGCCUUUCGAAAGGAAGAUUAAUACCGCAUAAGAUUGUAGUAUCGCAUGAUACAGCAAUUAAAGGAGUAAUCCGCUAUGAGAUGGACCCGCGUCGCAUUAGCUAGUUGGUGAGGUAACGGCUCACCAAGGCGACGAUGGGUAGCCGACCUGAGUGGGUGAUCGGCCACAUUGGUACUGAGACACGGCCCAGACGCAUACGGGAGGCAGCAGUGGGGUAUAUUGCACAAUGGGGGAAACCCUGAUGCAGCAACGACGCGUGAGUGAUGACGGUCUUCGGAUUGUAAAACUCUGUCUUCAGGGACGAUCAUGACGGUACCUGAGGAGGAAGCCACGGCUAACUACGUGCCAGCCGCCGCCGUAA
rnacentral:rRNA from 1 species